AGCUGGAUCAUUUCGAGAGUUUACGAACUCAAAAUGCAUCAAAACAGUGGUAAUUCAAUUGCCACAAUUGUUGAGCACUGAACUUUCCAUAUUCGAGUGGAAACACUCUUGUGUGGUUUUGAACAACUCAUAACGGUGGAUGUCUCGGCUUCUCAAUCGAUGAAGGACGCGGCAAUAUGCGAUAACUUCGUAUGAAUUGCAGAAUCAAGCGUAUUAUCAAACCUUUGAACGCAAACUGCGUGCUGGGUUUAAGCCCAAGCACGUCCACGGUUCAGUGCCGAUAACUGUGUUGGGGACAUAUUAGGCCCUAAAAUUCUGGUCCAGUACCAAUAUUUCUCUUCAAGGCCUGAGCUGUGGUCGACCACCCGCUGAACUUAAGCAUAUCAUUAAGCGGAGGAAAAGAAAACAACUGUGAUUCCCUUAGUAGCGGCGAGCGAAGAGGGAAAAGCCCAAGCCGAAUCGGAUCACAUCCGAAUUGUGGAGUAUGAGACCCUUUGUAUUUCAUCACACUGGAAAAGUUUCCCUGGAAAGGAGCGCCCUAGAGGGUGAUAGCCCCGUUUUCUGGUCAAUGAUGAAACAAACCUUUGGGUCUUCGGAGUAGUACUGCUUGGGAAUGCAGUGCGAAUGGCAGGUAUACCUCUGCCAAGGCUAAAUAUCAUGAGAAGACCGAUAGCGCACAAGUAGCGUGAGCGAAAGAUGAAAAGCACUUUGGAGAGAGAGUGAAACAGUACCUGAAGCCGUUAUGAGGUAAGGGAUGGACCACUAUCCAAGACAAGUGGAAGAAAAGUCCUCGGACGAUCUUCUCCAUUUGCCAUGCCUGCCGCUGUUCUGAAGUCUAGCUUAUCUGGUUUUUCGAUUCGCAGUAUGCACUUGAACUGAUGGACAGUUUUCCUUCGUGAGGGAGGUAACGUUGGUUCAACCUACGGGGGAACGGCUUAUCCGGAUAACCGCUUCGGUGGUGAUUCCUGGUUUGUUGAACUUCCGGAAGUGUUCCCGUUUACACCUCAUAGGUAGGCUUUGAGAUGGCCUUUGGCCACGAUGGGGUUCAUCCGCCCGUCUUGAAACACGGACCAAGGAGUCUAACAAGUGUGCGAGUCAUUUGCUAAAUGAAAGCAAAAGGCGAACUGAAAGGGAAGGGUGCAUCCGCACCUUUGGUGCCAACUGGAAGCUACGGCUGAAAGUGCAGCACCGGCCGAGGCCUGGCAAUCGGCUGGGUUUUUGAGCCUGAGCACACAUGUUGGGACCCGAAAGGUGGUGACCUAUGCCUGAACAGGACGAAGCCGAGGGAAACCUGGGUGGAGGUCCGUAGCGAUGUUGACGUGCAAAUCGCUCGUUAGAUUUGGGUAUAGGGGCGAAAGACUCAUCGAACCACCUAGUAGCUGGUUCACCC
rnacentral:misc_RNA from 1 species